rnacentral:lncRNA from 10 species
UUUUGGUACCAUUUUAGACUAAAUUGGAGAUAGUAUGUCCUUUUACCCCUAAGUACUUCACUUUAUAUUUACUAAGAACAGAGACAGUCUAUGGCAGGAAUUCAUUGAAGGCAGGAAAUCAAACUCUGAUACAUUCCUAUUUCAUAUGUGUGAAUAUUAAACCAACUUUGCAUUCUCAGAAUAAACCCCCCUAUGGAUGACAUGAUGUUCUAUCCUUAUUAUAUUUUAUUGAUGUCGAUUGGUUUGACUUUGCCUAUCUCCCUUCCUUCUUUCCUGCCUCCCUUCCUUCUUUCCUCCCUCCCUCCGGUAUUUCCUUCCUCCCUCCCCCCUUUCCUUCCUCCUUUUCCCCUUUAUUUCUCCCUUCCUUCUUUCCUCCCUCCUCCCUCUCUUCCUUCUCCCUUUCUCUUUUUCUUUCUUUUGUAUUUAUGGGAGAGUUGACCCUAUAAUUUUCUUCUUGGAAAUGAACUUGUUCACUCU